UUAAAAAGCCUGUAGUUAGAACUUCAGACCUAGGCUGGGCGGUCCGCUUAACGGCGUGUACUGUCUGGCUGGGCCUUACCUCUGGUGAGCCGGCGUGCCCUUUAUUGGUGUGCGUUGGGGAACCAGGACUUUUACCUUGAGAAAAUAGAGUGUUCAAAGCAGGCCUGUGCCUGAAUACAUUAGCAUGGAAUAAUAAAAUAGGACGUGCGGUUCUAUUUUGUUGGUUUCUAGAGUCGCCGUAAUGAUUAAUAGGGAUAGUUGGGGGCAUUGGUAUUGAGUCGCUAGAGGUGAAAUUCUUGGAUUGACUCAAGACCAACUACUGCGAAAGCAUUUGCCAAGGAUGUUUUCAUUAAUCAUGAACGAAGGUUAGGGG
rnacentral:rRNA from 1 species